rnacentral:rRNA from 1 species
CCUACGGGGGGCAGCAGUGAGGAAUAUUGGUCAAUGGACGAGAGUCUGAACCAGCCAAGUAGCGUGAAGGAUGACUGCCCUAUGGGUUGUAAACUUCUUUUAUAUGGGAAUAAAACGUUCCACGUGUGGGAUUUUGUAGGUACCAUAUGAAUAAGGAUCGGCUAACUCCGUGCCAGCAGCCGCGGUAAUACGGAGGAUCCGAGCGUUAUCCGGCUUUAUUGGGUUUAAAGGGAGCGUAGGUGGAUUGUUAAGUCAGUUGUGAAAGUUUGCGGCUCAACCGUAAAAUUGCAGUUGAAACUGGCAGUCUUGAGUACAGUAGAGGUGGGCGGAAUUCGUGGUGUAGCGGUGAAAUGCUUAGAUAUCACGAAGAACUCCGAUUGCGAAGGCAGUUCACUGGACUGCAACUGACACUGAGGCUCGAAAGUGUGGGUAUCAAACAGGAUUAGAUACCCGUGUAGUC